GAUGGGCAAGCUUACCCUGAGUUCGACAGACUGCUACGUCGGCAAAAACGUAAAGACGUUUGUUCCGGACAACAACAAUUAUUCGGAAGAGUGGUUUCAGAUCAUAUACAUCAACUGUGAGACUUGUGUCAUUACUCGACAUCCUUACGCUAAAAAUGGCAUGGGCUGUUCGCUUUGGCGUCGCUCGAACAACCUCCACGAGUCGUCGUAUUGCUGCGAGUUCAUAUUCGACCAGAACUGCGGUGCCUCAAGAAAAUACUACAUAUACAAUCCCGCAUGCACGUGGAUGACACCCACAGGAACACCGUGACAGUGGAGGGAUUUCUACCUGGACCUGGGAUACUUAUAGAUGGGCUGGGUUACUGCAUUACGUGCAGUCGGCGUCAGAAGUUUAGAUACCACCAGUUCGAAGACAGCUUUGAAUUCCUAAGCUAUUAAUGACUUUUCGAUCGAACUGCACAGUACAGCCUCGAAUCUGAAUUCAAGGCUCUCUGCCGAAGUAGCGGGAAUAUUCAGCUUUUUUCUUGUGUCUCGUGGUCUCUAAAGUUGUGACUUUACAUGUGUCAGAAUUUCUGCCGUGUAAAUUAGAAAUGAAUUGGCAGUUCGAAGUUGUAAUAAAAUGCCUUGAUCAUGUCGGGAUUAAUAAACUAAUAUUAAAUAAUUUCAUUACGAUUAUUAACAAGUACAAAAAUAAACUAAUUGA